rnacentral:rRNA from 1 species
GACGAACGCUGGCGGCGUGCUUAACACAUGCAAGUCGAACGAAGUGGCGAACGGGUGAGUAACGCGUAAUCAACCUGCCCUUCAGAGGGGGACAACAGUUGGAAACGACUGCUAAUACCGCAUACUGAAGGAGGGGAUUGCGUGUGAUUAGCUAGUUUGGGGGGUAACGGCCCACCAAGGCGAUGAUCAGUAGCCGGUCUGAGAGGGGGAACGACACCAUUGGGACUGCGACACGGCCCAGAAUCCUACGGGAGGCAGCAGGGGGGAAGCUUCCGAAAUGGAGGGAAGGCUGACGGAGCAACGCCGCGGGAGUGAUGAAGGCCUUCGGGUUGGAAAGCUCUGUUAAUCGGGACGCGGUACCGGAAGAGAAAGCCACGGCUAACUACGUGCCAGCAGCCGCGGUAAUAC